rnacentral:rRNA from 1 species
UACGGGGGGGGCAAGCGUUGUUCGGAAUUACUGGGCGUAAAGCGCGUGUAGGCGGCUUUGCAAGUCGGGUGUGAAAGCCCUCGGCUCAACCGAGGAAGUGCGCCCGAAACUGCAGAGCUUGAGUACCGGAGAGGAUGGCGGAAUUCCCCAAGUAGAGGUGAAAUUCGUAGAUAUGGGGAGGAACACCGGUGGCGAAGGCGGCCAUCUGGACGGAUACUGACGCUGAGACGCGAAAGCGUGGGUAGCAAACAGG